AAAAUCCGUCGACUUUAGAAAUCGUGAGGGUUCAAGCCCCA
rnacentral:tRNA from 1 species